UAGAGGCUAUGAUCGAGAUUA
rnacentral:piRNA from 1 species